AGAGCGAACGCUGGCGGCAGGCCUAAUACAUGCAAGUCGAACGAAUCCUUCGGGAUUAGUGGCGGACGGGUGAGUAACACGUGGGAACGUGCCCUUUGGUUCGGAACAACUCAGGGAAACUUGAGCUAAUACCGAAUGUGCCCUUCGGGGGAAAGAUUUAUCGCCAUUGGAGCGGCCCGCGUCUGAUUAGCUAGUUGGUGAGGUAAAGGCUCACCAAGGCUACGAUCAGUAGCUGGUCUGAGAGGAUGAUCAGCCACACUGGGACUGAGACACGGCCCAGACUCCUACGGGAGGCAGCAGUAGGAAUCUUGCGCAAUGGGCGAAAGCCUGACGCAGCCAUGCCGCGUGAAUGAUGAAGGUCUUAGGAUUGUAAAAUUCUUUCAGCGGGGACGAUAAUGACGGUACCGCAGAAGAAGCCCGGCUAACUUCGCGCCAGCAGCCGC
rnacentral:rRNA from 1 species